rnacentral:misc_RNA from 1 species
GAUGAAGAACGUAGCGAAAUGCGAUAAGUAGUGUGAAUUGCAGAAUUCAGUGAAUCAUCGAAUCUUUGAACGCACAUUGCGCCCCUUGGUAUCCCGAGGGGCAUGCCUGUUCGAGCGUCAUUUCACCACUCAAGCCUGGCUUGGUGUUGGGCGACGUCCCCUUUAGGGACGCGCCUCGAAACGCUCGGCGGCGUGGCACCGGCUUUAGGCGUAGCAGAAUCUUUCGCUUUGGAAGUCGGGGCCCCGCCUGCCGGAAUACCUACUCGUAAGGUUGACCUCGGAUCAGGCAGGGAUACCCGCUGAACUUAAGCAUAUCAAUAAGCGGAGGA